UACGGAGGGAGCUAGCGUUGUUCGGAAUUACUGGGCGUAAAGCGCACGUAGGCGGCUAUUCAAGUCAGGGGUGAAAUCCCGGGGCUCAACCCCGGAACCGCCUCUGAAACUAGGUAGCUAGAAUCUUGGAGAGGUCAGUGGAAUUCCGAGUGUAGAGGUGAAAUUCGUAGAUAUUCGGAAGAACACCAGUGGCGAAGGCGACUGACUGGACAAGCAUUGACGCUGAGGUGCGAAAGCGUGGGGAGCAAAC
rnacentral:rRNA from 1 species